AUUUUGUGUAAUUUUACUCAAAAUCGAAUCGUAUACGAUUUCACUGAUCUGUCAUCGGUUUUACAUAUCCUAAAAUAGUCAUUUUUCUGUUAAUGGAAUCAUGAAGAAAGCAGUAGACGUUUACAAGAAGAAUAUCAAUAAGGUCAAGUUCAUUCAGCAAUUAGGAGAGGAAGAUGCAAAACUGGAAUCGCCAAUUGAUCUGAACAUGAGUAAAAUGCUGGUAAUGAAAUUGAAUAGUUUAAAGUGGCACAAUCACGAAGUUCCGCCAAAAAAGUUAAAGCUCACAAAUACAGGACAAACAGUUAUCCUAAGUGCCAAAUGGCAACAAGAACGUCCAUUCAUAGCAGAUGGACCGUUUCUUGGGAACUAUGUUUUUUCACAAAUACAUUUUCAUUGGGGACCAACCAACAUGAAGGGAAGUGAACACACCGUCGAUAAUGGAAGUUUGCCAAUGGAAUUGCAUGCGGUUCAUUUUAAAAGUGAUUACCUCACCCAAGAGGUAGCACUACGAAAUACCGACGGGAUAGCCAUUUUGGUUUAUUUCUUUAAACUACAGUCAACAGCCAAUCCCUUAUUGGAUGGAAUUAUUAAGGCAUUACCAUUCAUACAGAAUCCACGCACGUCGACUCGCUUGAUACCACAAAGUAUCACGACUAUAUUAAGGCCGUUUACAAACGACUAUUUCGUCUAUUGGGGCUCCAUACUGACUCUCCAUUCCAGUCACAGUGCACUUUGGCUCAUUAGCAGAGAGCCAAUAGGAAUAUCAAUGGAACAGAUAGCAGAUUUUCGUAAUAUUAACGAUCUUAACCAUGAACCAAUUUUAUCGAAUUGUCGUCCAUUGCAAGACAGACAAAAUAGAACAGUGAUUCACGUGAGUCCUUCAGGAUCAAGAUACGCCACACUGUUACCUAUCCCACGGGAACCAGCUCCAUUGACAUUUACUCAAUCCGAAUCAAAGCUCGAAACGUCAAAUAAUCGAACGGUCAAUUAGACCGAUAAAAGUUCGGAUACAGAGUUUCGCAAUCUGCACCACCAAGUCCCAAGACCGAAGCUUUUACAGAGUCCAACAUUGCCGACCAUGAUGCACAAGAAAAACCGACCUCCACACCGGAACCCAGAUUCUCUGACCAGUUGCGUAUUCUUUGGAAAGUCUGUUGUCCACGCAGAGCGUUCGCCUGAGACAAUUUCCUGUAUCCUGAUUGGCGAUUAUCGCAG